UUGGGUAUAAAAUCCCCCCUCCCGGUCGAAGUUUGUAAAGGAUCGAUCUUUCCAGGGCUCUUCUGACUCCCGACCUUGUGCAUGGUGCCCCUCCGAACCUCCUCGAUCAUCCGAACUUCUCUGAUAGUGAACUUCUGCAUUCAUCCAUCGGACAGCCCCGAAGGCCCUCUGGGACUCACUGUCUGCCAACCUUCUACAGCAACCGACCCCC
rnacentral:lncRNA from 1 species